rnacentral:lncRNA from 1 species
CUAAAUCUAAUUAAGUCCUAAAAUUUGAUUAAACUAAAAACUGAUUAAUAAGAACAAACCAAGAUUAAACUUAAUUAAGCUAAAAAUUAGAACUAAAUGUAAUUAAGCUAAAACUAUUGGGGGUGCAGAACUGGAAAAUGGAGUGUGUUACAAAUGGGCGCAGAGGCCCAUCAUUCCAAAGCCCAACCUAAACCCAGCCUCAUGAAGGGGGUGUGGAUCCAAAAGAGGGUAGUGUAGAGAGAAACCUUGGGCCCAUAGGCCCAAGCUGAAUGCUGCAACCUUUAUUGAACUCAGUAUGAAGCUCCAAAUGCAACGAUGCUUCAACUUCGCCGCUCCUCCCACCUGUAUCGUCUUCCCCGAUAUUGUUUUCCAAUUAAAACAAACCAAAUAUAUGAAUCACUUCGCAUCAUAAAUAAGAAUACAUCUAAGAACUCAUCUCAAGAACGGAACCGAGACGAACAACGCGAAGAAUCGUGGAUCCGAAAUCACCUCCCGAAAUCGCAUUACACGUUCAACCUUUGAACUUGAACCAACUCCAUACGUGUAGCAACAAAAUUAACCAAGUGACACCAUGAAUCGAGUAUUGAAACGAGAAGGUAGCAGGGAACUCACCAGAUUGAGAUCGUGACACAGUGGCAAAACAGGUAUCACACUUCUUCUUGAUAUGCUUCCUCUUCUUCCUCACAAGAUCUCUUGUUGUUGAUGUGUUCUUGGAGUGUUGCUUCGAGUGAGAUGUAAUGGAUGUAGAAACUUUGAUGUGUGCAUGUGAUGCAGAGUACUAUGAACCUGAUGCAGAGGAUCGAGCUUAGUGGAGAGGAUUGAGAACUUAUGCAGAGCUUGAGCUUUAUGAACUUGGUGAAGAAUGAGCUCGAGAUUCUGCAGAGAACUUGAGAUUGUACAUAGCUAUGAACUAAAUGUAGAGAAUUGAGAAGAAAAUGAGAUUCUGGACUUGGUGCAGAAUGAGCUAGCCCGCCCGAGAUAUUGAGCUUGGUAAGUGCUUUUAUAACCUUCUAACCCUGAUGAUUCUGUUACUUUCUCUCUCUUCAUCUAUUAUGUUAUAGUUUGUUUGGUUGUUAGGAUUAGUUUCCUUUAGUUAUGAAAAUAGUUAGACAGCUGGACAAUUAGGUUAGACCCUUAUGAGUUAGUUCUAGUUAUAGUGACCUGUCAUGCUAGCCAAAUAAUGAGAGGGUUAAUUGUGUUGCCCAUUCUGGUAGGAUGAUAUUUAUCAGUUAUGAUGAUUUUUGUAGAGUUGUGUAACUUGUUAAUUCCCAAUUGGUUUAUGUCAAAUUAUUUAUCAUGUUAACCAAUUUUCUUCCCUUUUCCUUCUGUAAUGCCUUGCUGAUUGAAUCAUGUUGUACUUGUGACUCUUAGGGAAGACUAUUUUCCAUGCUAUGCUUAUUAAUUGCUCUAUUAUACUGGCCUUCAUGCUACUUUAUGAUGAUGUUUAUUGUUAAUGGCUAUUGCUUUGCAGGUCUGGUAUUGAUGAACUGUUGUUGCUACUAGAGAACAAGUUAUUUCACAUGAGCUUCCUUCCACUGCAGAGCAAAAUGAUGAGUUCAUUCUUGGUUAAGGUACUAAAGAAACAAGUCCUCAUCAUCCUUAUGUCCUUGACUUCAGAGCAUGCGACAAGACAGAUUCUGCAUCAAGAAAUUCGGGGAGCUCUGUUACUGUGGGUUUCACCUUUGAGCUAGCUUCACUUCACUUUUUGAGCAGUGCAUAAUAUUUACAUUUGUUGCAAUAUGCGAAUGUCUAUUCAAAGCCUUUAUUGCCACACUUAAGACAAACAGAUACUUGAGGUAACUAAAUUAUCCCCAUUGCCACUUUCGCUUGAGAACUUUCAUCUGCAAUUUCAUUUUCAGUACUGAUCUCUGAAGCGGCAUUAAUCUCCAUUGAGUUUGAAGGUUGUUAAUCAUUUUGAUGAACAAUAUGGUGUUGAAUCUCAUUCUGAACUAUUCUUUCUGACAUUUCUGUCUAUUUAACAUCUAUUUGCAUAGAUAAUUAAGUAUCAAUAGGAGAUUUCGAUGGUGCUGUUACUAUUGCAUAAGAAUCAGAACAUCAAUCUUUGAUGAAAGUAUUAAUAUCAGAACCUGCAGGAGCAUUAAACUCUAUUGAGAUUGAGUGUAGUUGAUCAUUUGUUCUCACAACACAAUGUUGAACCUCAUGAUGUUCUUUUCCUUUUAUUUCCAACUGGGAGUCAAUUUGAAUUGGAGGUGUAUUGGAAUCAAUGAUUGAAACGCAUGAGAAUGGCAAUGUGAAUGUUAUUUUAUGGAAAAUUGAUGGAAUGUUAAUUGUAUUCCAUGUGUAUGGAAAACUAUUGAAUUGUUAAUGUGUAUUAGAUGUUAUAAAAUUUGGAUGUAGAUGGAUUGUAUAUUAACCUGUAAAUGUGAUUUUGAAUGGUUUAUGGAAUCUUGAUUUUUUAUGGAAGGUUAUAAAAGUUUGGAUUUGUACUUGACAAAGUGGACUGUAAGGAAGCUUAAUGAAUGAAUGUUAUUCUUUGAAAAUUUGGAUUAUGUUAGUUGGUCAUGAUAAUGGGAAAGCAAUGCUAAGGUGAAUGGUCUUGAAUCGUCUAGGAUGUAAUGAAAUAUGGCUUGAAUUUUGUUCAUGAUAAAGGUUGUAAAAAGAAUGUUAGAUGUGAUGUAAAAGGUUGGUUUAUACAUGAAAUGAAUGAAUUUA